rnacentral:misc_RNA from 1 species
CCACUCGAUGCUGCCGUUCUCGCUCCCGCUCGUGGUCCAGCUCCACGCGAGCGACGGGGCGUGCUGGGAAGCCGGCUUCGGCGUCACGCAAAGCCGCCGCAACGAUGCGACCGGGUUCAGCGGCAAGAUGCAGGUGCCGUAACCGCGGGCGCGCCCCUCUCAUCGUUUCGGGGCGCGUCGCGGGGGAUCGCUACGCUGGGGGUUCGUGCUCGUCGAUGGGGUGAUCGCGCGUCUUACGACUGCGCGCGAGGUGGCGCGAUGCCGCCUCGGCGGGGUCGUAGCGCUGCUCCAGCUCGGCGAGCGCGCUGGCGAUGCGCGCACGCACGUCGUCCGAGGAUUCGUCGACUCCGACGCUGAUCGGUGUGUCGAAGGCGAGCUGCAACGUGGAGAAGGGCUUGGGGAUCUGCAGCCGAUCCCACGUCCGCGAGAGGAUCCACUGCCGCGACGGAACGACUACGACGGGAAGGAUCAGCGC